AAUGCCGCGUGUGUGAAGAAGGCCUGCGGGUUGUAAAGCACUUUCGGUGGGGAAGAACGUACUUGUGGCUAAUAUCCACGAGUGGUGACGGUACCCAAAGAAGAAGCACCGGCUAACUCUGUGCCAGCAGCCGCGGUAAUACAGAGGGUGCGAGCGUUAAUCGGAAUUACUGGGCGUAAAGCGCACGUAGGUGGUUUGGUAAGUCGGAUGUGAAAUCCCCGGGCUUAACCUGGGAAUGGCAUUCGAUACUGUCGAACUAGAGUCUGGUAGAGGGUGGUGGAAUUCCAGGUGUAGCGGUGAAAUGCGUAGAUAUCUGGAGGAACAUCAGUGGCGAAGGCGGCCACCUGGACUGAGACUGACACUGAGGUGCGAAAGCGUGGGUAGCAAACAGGAUUAGAUACCCUGGUAGUCCACGCCGUAAACGAUGAGAACUAGACGUUGGGCGGGUUAAACCGUUCAGUGUCGCAGCUAACGCGAUAAGUUCUCCGCCUGGGGAGUACGGCCGCAAGGUUA
rnacentral:rRNA from 1 species